UGUUUUCUGGAAGAAGAGAAUUUUAGAAGAAUUGCCCAGUAAAGUAUUGUAUAUCACCAAAUAGCUAGAAGACGUGCUUUUGUAUAUCCUCACUGCAAAGAAAUUGUAAAUGCAUCAGCUGAUGGAAUCCAACAAAGGAGAAUGAGAAUGAGUGGCUAGUAAGUAGGAAAGACUAAGCCAAAUAAGAUUUGAACUGAAGCUCAACCACUGGAUUUGUCAAU